AUUGAACGCUGGCGGCAUGCUUUACACAUGCAAGUCGAACGGCAGCGCGGGGCAACCUGGCGGCGAGUGGCGAACGGGUGAGUAAUACAUCGGAACGUACCCAGAAGUGGGGGAUAACGUAGCGAAAGUUACGCUAAUACCGCAUACGUUCUACGGAAGAAAGUGGGGGACCUUCGGGCCUCAUGCUUUUGGAGCGGCCGAUGUCUGAUUAGCUAGUUGGUAGGGUAACGGCCUACCAAGGCGACGAUCAGUAGCUGGUCUGAGAGGACGACCAGCCACACUGGGACUGAGACACGGCGCAGACUCCUACGGGAGGCAGCAGUGGGGAAUUUUGGACAAUGGGCGCAAGCCUGAUCCAGCAAUGCCGCGUGAGUGAAGAAGGCUUUCGGGUUGUAAAGCUCUUUUGUCAGGGAAGAAACGGCUGAGGUUAAUACCUUCGGCUAAUGACGGUACCUGAAGAAUAAGCACCGGCUAACUCCGUGCCAGCCGCCGCAGUAA
rnacentral:rRNA from 1 species